rnacentral:tRNA from 1 species
ACAUCCUUAGCUCAGUUGGUAGAGCGCUGGCUUUAGACACUAGCAGACUUUGGUUCGACUCCCAGAGGUGGA